GAACCCUCUGAAUGGUGACUUUCUCCAGGUGCAGGACAGGUCUUUGAUAAAAAUGUUAAAUAGUGUAAGGCCAAGAACUGAUUCCUGUGGGAUCCCACUAAAAAUACACCCAUUUGAUGAUGUUUCUUCAUUUACAACUGCACUUUGAGAACUAUCAAUCCCAGGCUGGAACCCAAGAUUUCCAAGUCUCACCAUUCCUCUGCUGUAAAUAUCUGUGAAACCCACUGUGAAAACCAAGGAUGCCUGCCUCAUUUGUUGAGCAAGUUGGAAGGUGUAUAGUGAAUAAGUCAGGGUACUGCUGGAAGAAAAAGGACAGUCUCUGAGUUAAGGUUAUUGGUCACUAUAGCACUAGUGACAAGCUCCUGAAGGGAAGAAAUGAAGAUGUCUAGUUGGAGUUAUGUGGUAAUAAGUGAUUGGCAGAGAUGGGACGUUGUAUCCUUAUCCCAGUCCAAGAGUGGGAGAUUUGUGAAAUCUCACCCCAAAACAGUUUGAAGAUGACCAUGACAUCACUGCUUGGUUUGGUUUCUGUGAACAGCUUUCAGACUUCACAAGUGGCUUGAUUGACAGAAGUCAGUGGAACUAGAAAACUCUGUCUAGCUAUACCUUGGAAGGCAGCACAUUAGGAGAGAAGAAUGGAUAUUUAAAAUACAGUAAAAUGAAUCUCAGAA